rnacentral:rRNA from 4 species
GGGUUGUGAGGUUAAGCGACUAAGCGUACACGGUGGAUGCCCUGGCAGUCAGAGGCGAUGAAGGACGUGCUAAUCUGCGAUAAGCGUCGGUAAGGUGAUAUGAA